rnacentral:misc_RNA from 1 species
UAUGAAGAACGUAGCGAAAUGCGAUAAGUAGUGUGAAUUGCAGAAUUCAGUGAAUCAUCGAAUCUUUGAACGCACAUUGCGCCCUUUGGUAUUCCUUAGGGCAUGCCUGUUCGAGCGUCAUUUAAACCUUCAAGCUAAGCUUGGUGUUGGGUGACUGUCCGCUUCACUGCGGACUCGCCUCAAAAUUAUUGGCGGCCGGUACAUUGGCUUCGAGCGCAGCAGAAACGCGAACUCGGGCCCGUCGUAUUGGCUCCCAGAAGCUAUCUUCACAAUUUUGACCUCGGAUCAGGUAGGGAUACCCGCUGAACUUAAGCAUAUCAAUAAGCGGAGGA